rnacentral:siRNA from 1 species
UGCUUAGGCUCUUUAGGGUCU